rnacentral:rRNA from 1 species
AGGUAAGCUAAUAAGAGCAAAUGGUGGAUGCCUUGGCAGACAAAGGCGAUGAAGGACGUACUAGACUGCGAUAAGCUACGAGGAGCCGUCAAGGGGCAUUAAUUCGUAGAUUUCCGAAUGGGGCAACCCAAUACAUAGAGAUAUGUAUUACCAUAUAUGGAGCGAACGUUGGGAAUUGAAACAUCUUAGUACCAACAGGAAAAGAAAUCAAUAGAGAUUACGCUAGUAGCGGCGAGCGAAAGCGUAAGAGGGCAAACCACUAGUUUACUAGUGGGGUUGUAGGACUGCAACAAAGACUAAGCAAAGAUAGUAGAACAAGUUGGAAAGCUUGAGCGUAGAGGGUGAUACUCCCGUACAUAAAAUCUUUACUUUACUUAGCAGUAUCCUGAGUAGGGCGAGACACGUGAAAUCUUGUCUGAAGCUGGGUCGACCACGAUCCAACCCUAAAUACUAAUGUCUGACCGAUAGUGUACAAGUACCGUGAGGGAAAGGUGAAAAGAACUGAGGUGAUCAGAGUGAAAUAGAACCUGAAACCAUUUGCUUACAAUCAUUCAGAGCCCUAUGUAGCAAUACAGGGUGAUGGACUGCCUUUUGCAUAAUGAGCCUGCGAGUUGUGGUGUCUGGCAAGGUUAAGCUAACGUGAAGCCGUAGCGAAAGCGAGUCUUAAUAGGGCGAUAAGUCAGAUGCUGCAGACCCGAAACGAAGUGAUCUAUCCAUGAGCAGGUUGAAGCUAGUGUAAGAACUAGUGGAGGACCCAACCGACGGCCAUUGAAACGGCUCCGGAUGACUUGUGGAUAGGGGUGAAAGGCCAAUCAAACUUCGUGAUAGCUGGUUCUCUCCGAAAUAUAUUUAGGUAUAGCGUUGUGUAGUAGCUAUAAGGGGUAGAGCACUGAAUGGGCUAGGGCAUACACCAAUGUACCAAACCCUAUCAAACUCCGAAUACUUAUAGUGUAAUCACAGCAGUCAGGCGGCGAGUGAUAAAAUCCGUCGUCGAGAGGGGAACAACCCAGACUACCAGCUAAGGUCCCUAAAUCUUAUUUGAGUGGAAAACGAUGUGAAGUUACUUUAACAACCAGGAGGUUGGCUUAGAAGCAGCCAUCCUUUAAAGAAAGCGUAAUAGCUCACUGGUCUAGUGAUUUUGCGCGGAAAAUAUAACGGGGCUAAAAUAAGUACCGAAGCUGUAGAC